GGGAAUAGCUCAAUCGGUAGAGCGUCAGCUUCGCAAGCUGGAGGCCGGGGGUUCAAAUCCCUCACCGCCCA
rnacentral:tRNA from 1 species